GGAAGAGUGCAGGAGUGGUUGAACUGGCACGCCUGGAAAGUGUGUAUAGGCGAAAGUCUAUCAAGGGUUCGAAUCCCUUCUCUUCCG
rnacentral:tRNA from 1 species